CGCGGGAUAGAGCAGUUGGUAGCUCGUCGGGCUCAUAACCCGAAGUCGGGGGUUCAAGUCCCCCUCCCGCAACCA
rnacentral:tRNA from 1 species